UACAGAGGGUGCGAGCGUUGUUCGGAAUUAUUGGGCGUAAAGAGCGUGUAGGCGGCCUGAAAGGUCAGCUGUGAAAACUCGAGGCUCAACCUCGAGACGUCGGUUGAAACCAUCUGGCUAGAGUCCGGAAGAGGAGAGUGGAAUUCCCGGUGUAGCGGUGAAAUGCGCAGAUAUCGGGAAGAACACCCGUGGCGAAGGCGGCUCUCUGGGACGGUACUGACGCUGAGACGCGAAAGCGUGGGGAGCGAACAGG
rnacentral:rRNA from 1 species